rnacentral:lncRNA from 1 species
CCCGACACUGUCACAGGUGACAUUGUAUUUGUUCUACAACAGAAAGAGCACCCGAAAUUUAAGCGAAAGGGUGAUGACCUAUUUGUUGAGCACACCCUGUCACUGACAGAAGCUCUCUGUGGCUUUCAAUUUGUAAUAACUCAUUUGGAUGGCCGGCAACUCCUCAUCAAAUCCCAGCCUGGGGAAGUAGUCAAGCCGGGUAAGUACAACUGGAUGGAUGUUAGUCUGAAUUUGUCAGCCUUUGUUGUUCAAAACUGAGUUUGUUGAAUAAUUUCUAGUUUCUAUAAAUUGUUCAACUUCACCAUUGGCAAUAUUCUUUCAGAUUUGUGAGCUGAUAGGAUUUUCCAUUUUUCUUGAGUCUUGACAGUGAUGCCUUGGUAGUGAUGCCUUGUGCAUGAACUUUUAUUCCUAGUACCAGUGUGACUGUCUAAUUUUUGGGCAUGUUGUUGUUUUCUGUUCAAAGUUCAGUUAUUUUUUGCUAUUUGAGUAGUGAUAUCUUGUUUUUGUACAGUGUUCUUUAACAUAUUGUUGUUUCUUUUCACCCCAGGAAACACUUUUAAGCAAUAUGUGCAAGUGAUCGUGGAAAUAAUAUCUGUGAACAGGCCUUUAAUAGCCUUGUUAAUGCAACUAGCUAGUUUCUUAAGACAUGUUUUUGGAGGCUUCCUCAGAUAGCUUUAUUGAUGCAAUUUAGCUAGUUUCUUAAGACUGUUGUCGAAGGCAUCAUACAUGUUGAAUUAUGUGAUGAUAUGAUCUAUUCUAGAUUCAGAUGGAACUACUAUUAGAGAUUUAUUGGAUGUGAUGCAUUGCCCUUGGUUCCUUUAUGCUGAAUAAUUUCUUGUGUUUGUUUCAUGUUAUCAUCUUAUUCAUACAUGCUACUUUUUUCUCUGCAAACAGACCAAUUCAAGGCCAUAAAUGAUGAAGGAAUGCCUAUGUAUCAGAGGCCAUUUAUGAGGGGCAAACUGUACAUUCAUUUCAGUGUUGACUUCCCUGAGUCACUGAGCCCAGACCAGUGCAAGAUGCUGGAGACCGUACUACCUCCAAGGACCUCAGUCCAGCUCACCGAUAUGGAACUGGAUGAGUGUGAAGAAACAACCCUGCAUGAUGUGAACAUUGAGGAGGAAAUGCGAAGGAAGCAACAAGCAGCUCAGGAGGCAUACGAUGAAGAUGACGAUAUGCAAGGUGGUGCCCAGAGAGUGCAGUGUGCUCAGCAGUGAUGAUGUAGAAGAAAAGGGGUGGCCUGAUUUAGUAUUUUCAUUGUUUGGGAGAAAAAGAUUCUCAACAUAUUUAUUUUCUGUUAUAGGCUUCAGAGGUUCUAGUUUUGGUUUGUCUGUCUUUAUUCUUAUGUUUUUCUGAUAACUGACUAUGUAAUGGAAUUCUAGCGGUUGCACCUUCAGACUCAAUGCUCAUAAUUAAUAUUUU